rnacentral:rRNA from 1 species
UACAGAGGUCCCGAGCGUUGUCCGGAAUCAUUGGGCGUAAAGCGCGUGUAGGCGGCUUGGUAAGUCCGCUCUGAAAGCCCGGGGCUCAACCCCGGGAGGCGGGUGGAUACUGUCAAGCUCGAGUCCGGAAGAGGCGAGUGGAAUUCCUGGUGUAGCGGUGAAAUGCGCAGAUAUCAGGAGGAACACCAAUGGCGAAGGCAGCACUCUGGGACGUGACUGACGCUGAGACGCGAAAGCGUGGGGAGCAAACAGG